GGGGACGAUCCGGAUUCGACGCCGGUGACAAAACCCGAGGUGCAUGCCGAGACGGCAGCGAGUCUCGAAAAAUCAAAGCUGCUUUAAAAUAGUCGCAAACGACGACAACUACGCACUCGCGGCGUAAAAACCGCUAGUGCCUGCCUGACCGGGGUGCCUGUCCCCCGCGUAUCACAGGCAGUCAUAUCAGAUAGGAUCGCCGUUGCGUGACGCUUGCAGCGUAACGGUUAAACUCUAGUAAGCUCGCCCCUUGCACCCUGACCUUCGGGUCGCUUGGGGUUAAAAGAAUAGAAGGAACCUAAGCAUGUAGAGCCAAGGGCGGAGUACCGGCGGACGCGGGUUCAACUCCCGCCGUCUCCACCA
rnacentral:tmRNA from 1 species